rnacentral:rRNA from 1 species
UACGUAGGGGGGCAAGCGUUGUCCGGAAUCAUUGGGCGUAAAGCGCGUGUAGGCGGCCCGGUAAGUCCGCUGUGAAAGUCGGGGGGCUCAACCCUCGAAAAGCCGGUGGAUACUGUCGGGCUCGAGUGCGGGAAGAGGCGAGUGGAAUUCCUGGUGUAGCGGUGAAAUGCGCAGAUAUCAGGAGGAACACCGGUGUGAAGGCGGCUCUGGGCUGAA